rnacentral:pre_miRNA from 1 species
UCUUAUUGAUAAGCAAAAGAAGUGGUUUUCUUAGAUGGAAUCUAUUCUUAAUGAAGAUAUUGUGAA